CGAGAAAGCGUUGCCGCAGGCAACGACCCGAAGGGUGAGGAGCGGAGCGACGAAUAAUCCUUCCCCCACCAUCA
rnacentral:sRNA from 1 species